rnacentral:rRNA from 1 species
UGUGUAGGAUAGGUGGGAGGCUUUGAAGCGUGGACGCCAGUCUGCGUGGAGCCAUCCUUGAAAUACCACCCUUUAAUGUUUGAUGUUCUAACUCUGCCCCAUAAUCUGGGGUGAGGACAGUGUCUGGUGGGUAGUUUGACUGGGGCGGUCUCCUCCCAAAGAGUAACGGAGGAGCACGAAGGUUAGCUAAUCACGGUCGGACAUCGUGAGGUUAGUGCAAAGGCAUAAGCUAGCUUGACUGCGAGAGUGACGGCUCGAGCAGGUACGAAAGUAG